UUCUCUCUUUCGCAAAUCUCUACUUCCGUUUCUCUCAACUUGCCUUCUGUCACUCUCAAACGUCGGGCAAGCUAUCGACCACCCCUUAUCUACCUUCUUCUUCUUCUUCUUCCUUCGCUUCACCCUGUGCAAAUCUGAGAGACGCCUACCACAAUUGCUUCACUGGGGCCUCUCUCUAAAAUCCAUCUGAAAAAGGUAUAAUGGGUAUUGUUUGUGUUUGCAGGUUGUACUCGGCAAAGUCUGUGAAGGACCAAUAAAUGGAUUCGAAGAUGAACCAAGUCAAGGGACACGGAGCUCAGAAUAUCGGAGGUAUAAAUUGGCUGCCCUGAAAUUUUUUUUAUUUAAUUAAUUUCAACAGGUAUCUAAGAAAUUCUUAGUAUGCAUAGUGUCUGUGUUGAGUCCCUGAGCAUCUUGAUUUUUUAUAUUAAAUGAUCUCUGUAGUGUCUGUAUAUUUGUACAUCCAUGCAUUAAAAUGAUUUCUGUCAUUCAUUGUUUCCUAUAUCCGAAUUUAAAUCUAUUUAAUUUUUUAAAUUGAUCUGGGAUGUUGAGAAAUUGGAGCUCUUCUAAGGUCAAGGCCAUUUUGAUUUGGGGAUUUGAUGCGAAGAAAAUGAAAUAAAAUUUGGGUUUUGGAUUGAUGUGGUGUUUGGUUUUAUUUCCUGUUAUCAGUGCUUACUACCUGUUUGAGAAAAUGUAUUAAACAUUUUUUUGGGCUUUUUUUUCUUCAGAUUAUCUAUAUGUUUCGAAUGUUUUUUGGUUUGUCAUGUGUAUAAGAAUGUGAAAUAGACUAUCUGAGGUAAUCAAUUUGAACAUAGCAUAUAGAACCUUUUGAAUUCAGGUUGUCUCCUUUUUCCUUUUAUCUUUCUCUUUAUUUAUAUUGGGAUUGGUUAAUUUUUUUUUUCUUCCGGAUUAGAGAUUUUAACCUUCUGCACUUCAAAUUUGAAGCACGAUGUAGUACAGAGUAUACAAUUCCUUGCUGGCUAUGAGGUUUGUUAUUUGUUUAUUUCUUUGUUCCACUUUUUUAGUUAAGGGUUCUUUUUUAUUUGACUUAACUUUGAUUUUUGAAAUGGUCCCUGCUGCUGCUAAUGAAGAUUUUUCAAGAGGGUUUUGCCUUUCUGAAGAGUUACUUUCAAGGAUAAAAAUGAGUGUUCCAAAGAAAGCUAGGAGUUCCGGUGAUGAAAUUGAACUUAUCGUCUUGGUAAGGAGUCUUCAUUUUUUUUGGUUUUAAGAUGAUAAAAAAUUAUUUGUUUUCUUAUUUGGUCUUUUGCCAAGGGAUUGAGUUGCUUUUGCGACGGAGACAUUUCAGAAGAGAAUGAGACUUUCCAUGUAAGAUAGAGAUGAUACAAAACUGUAAAUGGAUGUCUUAUUAUCUAAUUAGGUUGAGUUUGUAUUUAAUACAUAUAAUUGUAUUGGUAGGUCUGGAGUACUUUCUCUGCAUGCUUAGGGUAAAUUGUUUGCCUAUUCUGGGAGCAACUAUUCCGGGGUUGAUUGAUAGAGUGAAUAUUGAAUUUGUCGACAUUAAAGGGACUU
rnacentral:lncRNA from 1 species